rnacentral:rRNA from 1 species
AGUGAACGCUGGCGGUAGGCCUAACACAUGCAAGUCGAACGGCAGCACAGGAGAGCUUGCUCUCUGGGUGGCGAGUGGCGGACGGGCGAGGAAUACAUCGGAAUCUACUUUUUCGUGGGGGAUAACGUAGGGAAACUUACGCUAAUACCGCAUACGACCUACGGGUGAAAGCAGGGGACCUUCGGGCCUUGCGCAAGGGAAUGAGACGAUGUCGGAUUAGCUAGUUGGCGGGGUAAAGGCCCACCAAGGCGACGAUCCGUAGCUGGUCUGAGAGGAUGAUCAGCCACACUGGAACUGAGACACGGUCCAGACUCCUACGGGAGGCAGCAGUGGGGAAUAUUGGACAAUGGGCGCAAGCCUGAUCCAGCCAUACCGCGUGGGUGAAGAAGGCCUUCGGGUUGUAAAGCCCUUUUGUUGGGAAAGAAAUCCAGCUGGCUAAUACCCGGUUGGGAUGACGGUACCCAAAGAAUAAGCACCGGCUAACUUCGUGCCAGCCGCCGCAGUAA